rnacentral:lncRNA from 1 species
AAAAAGCGCAGGCUCGAGACAAGCAAGGCGCACGUCCGGUCCAGCCAAUUGUUAGGUGUUUCAGACUUGUUUUCGGUUGUUUUACACUGGUCUAGAUUGUUUAGACUGAUUCAAAGCGUUUGAAACUACUUUUGGCGGUUAUGUCACGGCUCCCGACCCUACCCUGGACGGAGCCGGGGGCCGUUAAGACAAGUUUUUUACCAGUUCAAGCCUGUUUGUUCCUGGUUUAAAGGAAUCAACUAGCAUUUCUUCUUGAAGAAGAAAGGAACCUACUUGCAACUCGUCUCGACGAAGAAAGGAAAGCAAGGGAAGAACUUCAAAAACAACUUCAAGAAUUUAUGAAGAUUGGCGUCCUCCCUCUAAUUAGAUGUAGUUUUUGAUAUCUUUUUUGAAUUAUGUUAAAUUG